UCUUAGUGGUGCUUUGAGAUGACUAAGGAUCUAUAUCUGUCUUGAGAUUUGUCUUUUCCUUACAAGUGAAGAGAUUGUGUGGUUCAAUGAAGUAAUAACCUAUGAUCUAUGGGCCAGGUCUUUGAUGAGUACCUUAACUUGCAGGAUAGCAUACUCAUACAAUAAUAUUGUUGCCUGUCGCUCUUAACAAAUUUCAUUCAGGAACCGGGCCAUGUUGAUGUUCAAAAGAGUUGUCAGAAGUUCAUGACAUCUGUUAUUUAUUAUAUCUUCUUUUGUAGUGGGCUGGUGUGGUCUGUUUAGCAGCAGGUAGCACUACAACCAGCAAUGUAUGGAUGAAUUGAAGGUAGUAAAGAACGCAGGCAAUCUUAUAGAAACUCUGCAUCUUGAAACUAGCAUGAUUGACAAAGAAGCUGGAUGCAUCCUUUGGAUUGGUGUCUUCUUAUCACCAAGCAUUAAUGUGAAGCAAGUUCAUUUGUUGACUAAGAACAGAUGAGCACAAAUCAGUGAAGAUUUCGUUGCACUAGAGAUGGAGGAUGGAUAGGUGGUAGAUUUCAAUAUGGCUUUGAUACUAUUGUUUCUCUUUACAAUCUUUGUACAGAACAAGAAAAAUGACGUUGUAUGUGGAUACUAUUGUAAUUCAAGAAUUUAUUUCUGAAUAAUAAAUAUAUUUGUUUAUAAUUUGUGUA